GAUGAACGCUGGCGGCGUGCCUAAUACAUGCAAGUCGAGCGAACAGACGAGGAGCUUGCUCCUCUGACGUUAGCGGCGGACGGGUGAGUAACACGUGGAUAACCUACCUAUAAGACUGGGAUAACUUCGGGAAACCGGAGCUAAUACCGGAUAAUAUAUUGAACCGCAUGGUUCAAUAGUGAAAGACGGUUUUGCUGUCACUUAUAGAUGGAUCCGCGCCGCAUUAGCUAGUUGGUAAGGUAACGGCUUACCAAGGCAACGAUGCGUAGCCGACCUGAGAGGGUGAUCGGCCACACUGAAAGUGAGACACGAUCCAGACUCCUACGGGAGGCAGCAGUAGGGAAUCUUCCGCGAGGGGCGAAAGCCUGACGGAGCAACGCAGCGUGAGUGAUGAAGGGCUGCGUAUCGUAAAACGCUGUUAGUGUGGAAGAACAAAUGUGUAAGUAACGAUGCACGUCUGGACGGUACCUAAGCAGAAGGCCAGGGCGAACUACGG
rnacentral:rRNA from 1 species